ACGGCCUCCCGCCGCCCCUGAGGGGGAUUCACCGCCCGCUCCCCGCUGGGCGCGUCAUUUUUGUGCCCCUCGCUCUUCAGGAGCGCUCCCGGCGGGAAAAAUGCCGCCUCACCGCCCUCUGCCAACAUCCCUGAGGGGGAUUCACCGCCUGCUCCAGCAGGACUCAGCUGGAGCUGUUUGCAGCUGGCUAACACCCAUCUAAUGGAGUGGCAUCCAGUCCAGAACCAGGAACUUGAGAGGAAAAUCCUCCAAUUAGUGCAGGGGUCCCAGGACUCUCUGUGCUUCAGCCCAGCAGUAACACAGGAGUCAGGAAUUCUGGUCCUGCCAGAAAUAGCAGCUGUUGGAGCCGCUCAGUGAUGCAGAAACCUCACAGGGGGGGAUUUGCAUGGGCAGAAUGAAGACAAGGUCACAGAACAUGCCGGGAGAGGUCCAGGGUCCAUGUGCGCAGCAGAGCAGGAAUAUCCAAAAAAAGGCUAAGAAUAUCCUGAAUUCCCUCAGCUGCAGUCUGCUGCAGUUCAGGAAAAUGACAUCAUUGCACCACCCCGACCACGGGCUCUGGAGGAGUUCCAUCCUUCCCUCUGAGAACCUCAUGGACACGAGUAAUCCCUCCCAGCUCCACAGGGCCUGUGCUGAUGGAAAACCCUCCGCUCGGGAGCAAGCCUUGCUGGGCUCUGGCUCGGUUCUUACUGGGGUAAAACAUGACCUGGGUCACAGAGCUGCAGCCCAAAUUAUUCAGAUAUAACUGAAAAUGAGCAGCAGAGCUUGGGCCUGUGUGUUCUGUACACUCGAGGCACCCAAUGGGACAGCAUCCAUUCAUCCAGCCUGAAAUCCCACCAGGACAUGGUCUCUAAAAAAACCAGUCUCACCCCCAGGCCUAUAAAACAACUUCUCACAGCUACACCUGUCUGG